UACGGAGGGUGCAAGCGUUAUCCGGAUUCACUGGGUUUAAAGGGUGCGUAGGCGGGCAGGUAAGUCAGUGGUGAAAUCUUUGGGCUCAACCCAAAAACUGCCAUUGAUACUAUCUGUCUUGAAUAUUGUGGAGGUGAGCGGAAUAUGUCAUGUAGCGGUGAAAUGCUUAGAUAUGACAUAGAACACCCAUUGCGAAGGCAGCUCACUACGCAUAUAUUGACGCUGAGGCACGAAAGCGUGGGGAUCAAACAGG
rnacentral:rRNA from 1 species